rnacentral:rRNA from 1 species
GCGAACGGGUGAGUAACACGUGGGUAACCUGCCCAUCAGAAGGGGAUAACACUUGGAAACAGGUGCUAAUACCGUAUAACACUAUUUUCCGCAUGGAAGAAAGUUGAAAGGCGCUUUUGCGUCACUGAUGGAUGGACCCGCGGUGCAUUAGCUAGUUGGUGAGGUAACGGCUCACCAAGGCAACGAUGCAUAGCCGACCUGAGAGGGUGAUCGGCCACACUGGGACUGAGACACGGCCCAGACUCCUACGGGAGGCAGCAGUAGGGAAUCUUCGGCAAUGGACGAAAGUCUGACCGAGCAACGCCGCGUGAGUGAAGAAGGUUUUCGGAUCGUAAAACUCUGUUGUUAGAGAAGAACAAGGAUGAGAGUAAAAUGUUCAUCCCUUGACGGUAUCUAACCAGAAAGCCACGGCUAACUACGUGCCAGCAGCCGCGGUAAUACGUAGGUGGCAAGCGUUGUCCGGAUUUAUUGGGCGUAAAGCGAGCGCAGGCGGUUUCUUAAGUCUGAUGUGAAAGCCCCCGGCUCAACCGGGGAGGGUCAUUGGAAACUGGGAGACUUGAGUGCAGAAGAGGAGAGUGGAAUUCCAUGUGUAGCGGUGAAAUGCGUAGAUAUAUGGAGGAACACCAGUGGCGAAGGCGGCUCUCUGGUCUGUAACUGACGCUGAGGCUCGAAAGCGUGGGGAGCGAACAGGAUUAGAUACCCUGGUAGUCCACGCCGUAAACGAUGAGUGCUAAGUGUUGGAGGGUUUCCGCCCUUCAGUGCUGCAGCAAACGCAUUAAGCACUCCGCCUGGGGAGUACGACCGCAAGGUUGAAACUCAAAGGAAUUGACGGGGGCCCGCACAAGCGGUGGAGCAUGUGGUUUAAUUCGAAGCAACGCGAAGAACCUUACCAGGUCUUGACAUCCUUUGACCACUCUAGAGAUAGAGCUUCCCCUUCGGGGGCAAAGUGACAGGUGGUGCAUGGUUGUCGUCAGCUCGU